CCCGAAACCAGGUGAGCUACCCCGAGACAGCCUAUGUUAAUUUAGGGCUAACCCGUCUCUGUGGCAAAAGAGUGGGAAGAGCUCCGGGUAGAAGUGACAGACCUACCGAACCUGGUGAUAGCUGGUUGCCUGAAAAAUGGAUAGAAGUUCAGCCUCGCUCCCCCCGAUCCAACAAAUAUAUCGUCAAGAUGCUCAGAGAGACAUGCGAGAGUUAGUUAAAAGGGGUACAGCCCUUUUAACAAAGGAUACAACCUUCACAGGAGGAUAAAGAUCAUAAUAUAUAAGAUAUACUGUUCUAGUGGGCCUGAAAGCAGCCACCUAAGCAGAAAGCGUUAAAGCUCGGACAGAGAGAAGUUUAUUAUACUGAUAAGAAAUCUUAUUCCCCUAACUGUAUCAGGCCAACCCAUGCCCCCAUGGAAGAGAUUAUGCUAAAAUGAGUAAUAAGAAGACACGCUCUUCUCCCGGCACACGUGUAAACCAGAUCGGACUGACCACUGGAACUUAACGAACCCAACCCAAGAGGGUAGUGUGAUUAAUAUAAACCUCAAGAAGACCUCACACCAACUGAUCGUUAACCCCACACUGGAGUGCUAUUUCAAGGGAAAGACUAAAAGAGGAGGAAGGAACUCGGCAAACACAAGCCUCGCCUGUUUACCAAAAACAUCGCCUCCUGCAACUAGACUGAGUAUAGGAGGUCCAGCCUGCCCAGUGACUACGGGUUCAACGGCCGCGGUAUCUUGACCGUGCAAAGGUAGCGCAAUCACUUGUCUCUUAAAUAGAGACCUGUAUGAAUGGCUAGACGAGGGCUUAACUGUCUCCCCCCUCCAGUCAGUGAAAUUGAUCUAUCCGUGCAGAAGCGGGUAUAAAUAUACAAGACGAGAAGACCCUUUGGAGCUUAAGGUACAAAAUUCAACCACGUUAAACAACCCCAUAAAAGGCAAGAACUUAGUAGCGAUGAAAUUUUACCUUCGGUUGGGGCGACCGCGGAGGAAAAACAAGCCUCCGAGUGGACUGGGCCAAACCCCUGAAGCCAAAAGAAACAUCUAGAAGCCGCAGAAUAUCUGACCAAAAAUGAUCCGGCUAAAAGCCGAUCAACGAACCAAGUUACCCAAGGGAUAACAGCGCAAUCCCCUCCCAGAGCCCGUAUCGACGAGGGGGUUUACGACCUCGAUGUUGGAUCAGGACAUCCUAAUGGUGC
rnacentral:rRNA from 1 species